UACAGAGGGUGCGAGCGUUGUCCGGAAUCACUGGGCGUAAAGGGCGCGUAGGCGGCCCGGUAAGGUUGCGGUGAAAGCCCGGGGCUCAACCCACGGGCCUGCAUCGGAAACUGUCGGGCUUGAGUAUGGGAGAGGUGAGUGGAAGUUUCCGGUGUGAGACGGUGAAUGACGUAGAUAUCGGAAGGAACACCUGUGGCGAAAGCGGCUCACUGGACCAUUACUGACGCUGAGGCACGAAAGCUAGGGGAGACAAACCAGGAGUUAGAAAACCCC
rnacentral:rRNA from 1 species